UCUGUCAUUGAAAUGAUCUACCGGUUGCAGAUUGUUGAUGGAAGACUGAUUUUUGUGGAAGUUGCUGAUAAUACACAAGCUACAGAAAACAAAACAUCCCGUAAAUAACUUUCUCAUAAUUCAGCAUAUACAUCAUGGUAGAAUUUUUGGCCAUUGCUCAAUCCUCCAUAGUGCUGCCUCACUUUCGCGUCCAAGCUUGGAGUCAAAGGCAGCAUUUCUUUGCUCAUAGUCAGCCAUUGAGGUCACUUCGUUCAUCUCUACAUCCAUUGAAUACCCCUUGCACGGUGUACCCAAACUUGUCCACUCGAUCAAAGCCUUCCUACUGGGGAGUCAAAGCCAGUGUUGUCUCUGAUUCUACAAUGCCAACCACCUUCACUGUUGAUUCAGCAGGGCCAGGAAUUGAUAUUCUGCCAGAGACAGGUGGUGGUGGUGGAGAUGAUUCUGGGAGUGCAAAUGGCGGUGGUGGUGGUGGGGGAGAUAAUGGUGGCAAUAAUAAUAAUAAUAAUGAUGGUGGCAACGAGGGGGAGUCAGAUGAAGGCAAGGAUCAUAGCAAUAAAAAGAAAAUGGCCCUUUCUAUGUCCCAAAAAUUGACAUUGGGCUAUGCUUUCUUGGUUGGAGCUGGUGGUUUUAUGGGUUAUCUGAAAAGUGGCAGCACGAAGUCCCUAAUUGCAGGUGGAGUUUCUGCCUCCCUUUUGUACUCUGUUUAUGCUAUGCUUCCAACACAACCUGUUUUGGCAUCAUCAAUGGGUUUCGUCCUCUCGGCUGCACUUCUGGGAGUAAUGGGAUCUCGGUUUCUGAAGUCAAAGAAGGUUUUUCCAGCUGGUGUUGUCUCCUUUGUGUCUCUUGUUAUGACUGGUGGUUAUCUGCAUGGAAUAUUGCGCACUGCACAUUAGAUCCCUAAACUAAGCUACUGAUCAACAUGGACAAUCAUUAGUGUCUACUCUCUACUGUUGAUUAUAGUUUUCCUAUCUGUUUGAAUUUUGGAUUUUGCAAAAUUUCCUAAGCUGUCUGGCUCCUAUAACUCUCUGCUGGACUCUAAUGAUGUAUGAAGGCUUACUUUAUUAGCCCUCUGUUUCUGUCGUCUAUUCGUUCUGUUCUGGAGAAGUUUUC
rnacentral:lncRNA from 1 species